rnacentral:rRNA from 1 species
ACAAACGCUGGCGGCGUGCCUAAUACAUGCAAGUCGAACGGGGAAAGCUUUCGGGUGAGUACUAGUGGCGCACGGGGGAGGAACGCGUGGAUAAUCUGCCUUAGAGUGGGGGAUAACUAGUCGAAAGAUUAGCUAAUACCGCAUAAGACCACGAGAGCUGCGGCUUUUGAGGUCAAAGGUUUUUCGCUCUAAGAUGAGUCCGCGUAAGAUUAGCUAGUUGGUGAGGUAACGGCUCACCAAGGCGACGAUCUUUAACUGGUCUGAGAGGAUGAUCAGUCACACUGGAACUGAGACACGGUCCAGACUCCUACGGGAGGCAGCAGUAGGGAAUAUUGCACAAUGGAGGAAACUCUGAUGCAGCGACGCCGCGUGAGUGAUGAAGGCCUUCGGGUCGUAAAGCUCUGUCGCAGGGGAAUAACACAAUGAAGGUACCCUGUAAGAAAGGAUCGGCUAACUUCGUG